rnacentral:rRNA from 1 species
UACGUAGGGUGCAAGCGUUAAUCGGAAUUACUGGGCGUAAAGCGUGCGCAGGCGGCUUUGCAAGACAGAUGUGAAAUCCCCGGGCUUAACCUGGGAACUGCAUUUGUGACUGCAUGGCUAGAGUGCGGCAGAGGGGGAUGGAAUUCCGCGUGUAGCAGUGAAAUGCGUAGAUAUGCGGAGGAACACCGGUGGCGAAGGCGGCAUCCUGGACCAACACUGACACUGAGGAGCGAAAGCCAGGGGAGCAAACGGG